CGCCACCUCCCCUUCCCUUGUUCCGCCCCUCCGGCUCUCUCUCUCUCUCUCUCUCAUCCUGUUGCGGGUCAAGGCGACGGCAAGCCAGGAGAUAGCCGGCCCUAGUGCUAGGGCGUCACGGUAGCCCAGCCGCGGCGUGGCAUGAGCCAAGCGCAGGCCGCUGCGGCCCCGGCGGCGCGGUCCAACUGAGGUAAGGGGCGGCCGACCCGGCGCGGCGAGCAGGCUAAGCUUGCGGGAGCGCGUCGUGCUGGAUGUCCCGGCCGGUGGCUAGGCGGCGGUGUGACGAGGCGCACCCGCCCGGCCACGGAGCUACGGCUCCAGCGCAGGGAGCAGCUCCCUACGGCGGCGAGGGGCUGUAGCACGGAGGGCACGUGGAGCUACGCAGGCUCAGAGGCACGAAGAGCACAUGAAGCUGCGCGAGAUCUAGCGGCGUGUGGAUGGGCUUGAGCUCGCCGGCCUCCGUGGCACACAUGGGACGCGCUGCGAUGACACAGCCCCGUGAAGUGCUCCACUCCCUCAACCCCGGCGCCGGAGAUGCCGACGAGGAUGGGCGGUUCCUCCUCCACUGGACCACGACCACCGUUGUUGGUUCUAUCAAAAUAAGGCCAUGUAGUUACUUACUUGGACCCUGAGGAGGAAUUAGUACUUCAGAAGAAGGUUAACUCAAUUGGAGACAGGCAGCCACAAAUCGGUUGUAGAUCAGAUCAUUGGAUCUGAAUCCGACCAUGCUGCAUGUGCUAGCUGGUAACACAAAGAUCGUUGCUUGAUGUGGGCCCUUCAUUGGUAAUGACUCCUGAUUCCUCGCUCUUCUCACUUAAUUAAGUGACUUGUGCUUCCAUGGGCAACAAUUUGUUGAACCAAAAGGUUAUUGUACAGGCCAAUAUCUUUAAAAGGUAAAUUUUGUACCUUUUUAUUCCUUAUUGCAUUACUUUCUAAACCUUGGCCAUCUGUAGUGACCUUGGAGCUUGCAGUACACCAUCAAUUGAAUGGCCAGCUACGGUUAUCUUUAAGUAGCAAAUAGAUAGGUCAGUGUUUGAAGAUUCUUUCAAUUGAGCCUGUUUGUAAUUUAGACGUUCAGUGGAAGAAUGGUGAAAGCCUACAAACCGCAGCAUCAUAUCCUGUUUGCAUCGUGGUCCAAUGCUUGUAAAAGUAACCAUCACUAAUAUUGCGUUUCCCUUGCUCAAUUGUUUUACAGACUGCAGCAAAUAUGUGUGCUCCUCAGGUGGUGUUUGUAUAUGUUCAAUUGGUGAAUUUUUAAUUUUGCCAUUCGUCAGUGAGCAAGAAAAAUUAGUACACAGGAAAGAGUAGAAGAAGGUGAUCAUUCUCUGUCCAUUUGGUUUUGAUCUUCUGGAAGCUCAUUACAUAUGCCUACAGUGGUGGAGCUGCGGCUUGAAUCGAUGGGAGAUGGAGGAGUUGCCAUGCUGCUGCUUGUGAUUCGUGCCCUCGAGAGGAGCUGCUACUUGCUUGCAGUGGAGAAAAGAACCAAUCCUUAGGCGAGGGUGAUCACUAUGAUUGUUCUAUAUCGGAUUCUGAUUGGUGUCUUGGUAAGACACACAGACACACUAUAAGCAUGAAGUCCCUUUCAUGCCAUUCUUCAGAUCCCGAUAUUCGCUUGACUCUCCCAACAAGCUGGAGGUGAGAUAGCUGACUUCUUCAUUAUUCCAACUUCCGAGGAAUAUUGAUGCCAUUAGGAUAUUAAGUGGAAAGGCACAUCUAUCCGCGCUGGUGCUAGUGCUUCUGCUGGCCGUGUCGGACGAGUAGCUGAGGCUGACUUCCGUGCUGGUGAUGGCUAUGCUAGAAAAGAAGUGAGAUUAGAGAUAGACAACGAAUUCAGAGAUACAUAUUCAGAUUUAAUUUGUUGAAUAGCAAAUUCAUAUUUGUAAAAAAUUAAUAUUUAGUGUUGACUGAUGCACCAUGCCCAAUCCUGAGGGGCAUGUAUUU